AAAAAUGGCUGGGUUAUUUUUUAACCCAAAAUGCUGGGUUGAGUCUGUUGGGUUGUUUUGCUGGGUUAUUUUUUUUACAUUUUAAACACUUUUUGGGUAGUUUCAGUUUUCUAGGUGUUGGGUUAAAACUGCUGGGUUAUUAUGUUGGGUUGUUUGAAGAGGCUCACGUGCUUCGCGCCCUUGAUGUUUGAAUGUGCUCAGCAAUGGUCGUCGUGAAAGGACAGAGUCACUGAAGCAGUUGUUUCAAGAGUGUGCAGAGUUUUUAUGUCCAUCCAUUGAUGAGGCUAGCAAGACCUUCAAACAACUUUAGCCAAUUGCAACAAAUGUGGUGGAAUUUCUUCUCUGGACAGAAUCCUCGAAACCCUUUCCUUUCGUCCUGGCCAUGGGAAACAUGCAGCAGACCUCUCAAUCUUUUUUCUCAAUCAGUCUCUCUGAAUACGGAAGUGACUUAAACUGCAAUUCGGCCAAGAUGGCGACGGCACGCACCGCCUACUUUAAGCUUCAAAAAUGCUCUUCACAAACCAAUGGGUGACGUCACAGACACUACUUGCAUAUUUUUUACAGUCUCUGGUUUAAAGGCAUUUUAAGUGCUUAAAAAAAUAAAUACCCCAGGCAAUGUGCUUCUAUGGGAAUUCCUGUAGUCUGUCAUUUUUCAAAUGGAUGAAUCCCCUGCUGUUCGAUUCCUUUGUACAUCUUUGUUCGCGACGAGUAACUUUAAUAAAUGAAGUAUUUUUAGUCAAAUACAUUCCAUUCUGUGAAACUUAAAACAUUUGUUCUUUAAAAAAACUUUACA